rnacentral:sRNA from 1 species
ACACCGAGUCAGCGGCGGCGUCCAGGGUCGGCAGCUACCGCAGCAGAGCCCCAGCGAGCGGGCGGCGGCGCCAUGGCGUGCGCGGGGCUGCUCACCGUGUGCCUGCUCCGGCCGCCCGCGCCCCAGCCCCAGCCCCAGACCCCGCGGCACCCCCAGCUCGCGCCGGACCCGGGGCCCGCCGGACACACGCUCUUCCAGGACGUUUUCCACAGAGCAGACAAGAAUGAUGAUGGGAAGCUCUCAUUUGAGGAAUUCCAGAAUUACUUUGCCGAUGGGGUUCUCAGCCCGGGGGAGCUGCAGGAACUGUUCAGCGGCAUUGAUGGGCAUCUCACCGAGGACCAGAGGAUGCCUGGGGACAGCUGGGCCCCGCCUGCUUCCACCCGAGAAUGCAGUGCACGAACACGCAACUAUCUACCCCUUGUGUGCUCCCACAUCUACGCGUCUUGGCAGGAGUUGCACGCUCCUUCCCGUGCCUGCUCCCAGGGGUGCAAACGCACGAACCGCUGUUACUCCCUCUACUUCCCUUCUCCCUCUUCCUGAGGCAAUUUAGAAACGGAAAAACUGUGUGGUGAGUAGGCCCAUGGGAGCUCUUGUCUCCUGGGGCCGCUGGGCCCCAGAGUAGGUAUGGCAAGGGACUGUUGCUGGUCUCCUGAUGGGACAGGUUGGGCUGGGCUCAAGAUGUAAGGCCUGCUUGGCUGCUGAGGAAUUCCAGGGGGCCAGAAUCCUAGGGUGGGUAGAUGGGUGGGGGUCCAGGAACCCUUGAGCACCUCUUCUGCCUGCAGACUACUUCUCAGAGCACCUGGGUGUCUACCGGCCGGUACUGGCUGCAUUGGAAUCGCUGAACCGUGCAGUGCUCGCUGCCAUGGAUGCCACCAAGCUGGAAUACGAGAGGGCCUCCAAAGUGGACCAGUUUGUGACGCGCUUCCUGCUGCGGGAGACGGUGAGCCAGCUGCAAGCCCUGCAGAGCUCGCUGGAGGGGGCGUCAGAUACCCUGGAGGCCCAGGCCUGUGGCUGGCGGUAUGUAA